GAUGAAGAACGCAGCGAAGUGCGAUAAGUAAUGUGAAUUGCAGAAUUCCGUGAAUCAUCGAAUCUUUGAACGCAAAUUGCACUUUCUGGUAUUCCGGAGAGUAUGCCUGUUUGAGGGUCAGUGUAAUAAAUAAAUCGUGGUUGUUACCACCUUUCGUGGUGACGCUUCGGAAUUGAGUCCUCUUACCCUUCGGGUUAAGUGACUUAAAAUUUUUUCAUACGAUUUCGAAACGUAUUUAAUGUAUUAUGUACGUUCACGAAUAUCGAAUGUUUAUUAGGUGCGGUCAUUUUUCAUGAAUUCGCGUCUAUAAUUUUUUUUUUUUGACCUCAAAUCAGGUAAGAAUACCCGCUGAACUUAAGCAUAUCAAUAAGCGGAGGA
rnacentral:misc_RNA from 1 species